rnacentral:rRNA from 1 species
CCUACGGGUGGCAGCAGUGGGGGAUAUUGCACAAUGGGGGGAACCCUGAUGCAGCGACGCCGCGUGGGUGAAGGAGUGUUUCGGUGUGUAAAGCCCUAUCGGCAGGGAAGAAGAUGACGGUACCUGACUAAGAAGCCCCGGCUAACUCCGUGCCAGCAGCCGCGGUAAUACGUAGGGGGCAAGCGUUAUCCGGAUUUACUGGGUGUAAAGGGGGCGUAGACGGCAGUGCAAGUCAGGAGUGAAAGCCCGGGGCCCAACCCCGGGACUGCUUUGGAAACUGGAAGGCUGGAGUGCAGGAGGGGCAAGCGGAAUUCCUAGUGUAGCGGUGAAAUGCGUAGAUAUUAGGAGGAACACCAGUGGCGAAGGCGGCCUGCUGGACUGUAACUGACGUUGAGGCCCGAAGGCGUGGGGAGCAAACAGGAUUAGAUACCCCGGUAGUC